rnacentral:rRNA from 1 species
AUACGUACCGUACAAACGUUAUUCGGAAUUACUGGGCUUAAAGGGUGCGUAGGCGGUGCGGUAAGUUGGGUGUGAAAUCCCUCGGCUCAACCGAGGAACUGCGCCCAAUACUGCCGUACUCGAGGGAGACAGAGGUAAGCGGAACUGAUGGUGGAGCGGUGAAAUGCGUUGAUAUCAUCAGGAACACCAGUGGCGAAAGCGGCUUACUGGGUCUCUUCUGACGCUGAGGCACGAAAGCUAGGGUAGCGAACGGGAUUAGAAACCCCGGUAGUCC